ensembl:misc_RNA 7SK 7SK RNA
GGAUGUAAGUGCGAUCUGGCUGCGACAUCUGUCAACCCAUUGAUCAUCAGGGUUGAUUGGGCUGAUCUGGCUGGUUAGGUGGGUGUCCCAUUCCUUCCUCAAUGCCCCAUGGGUGUCCCUCCCAAGGGUGGAUGCUAGGUUGGCCUUCCCCAAAUAGAGACAGACUGGUCUUCAGUCAAGGGUAUUCAAGUAGCUGUGCUCCCUUGCUAGAACCCUCCAAAUAAGCUCUCAAGAAGUUGUAGGAUAUAUAAAUUCACUGGACUACAACUCUUAAAUUAAGAGAAAAAAUGAUAUUAUAGCCUUU